rnacentral:rRNA from 1 species
AGGGUGCAAGCGUUAAUCGGAAUUACUGGGCGUAAAGCGUGCGUAGACGGUUAUGUAAGUCGGGUGUGAAAGCCCCGGGCUCAACCUGGGAAUGCCAUUCGAGACUGCAUAGCUAGGGUGCGGAAGAGGGAAGCGGAAUUUCCGGUGUAGCGGUGAAAUGCGUAGAUAUCGGAAGGAACACCAGUGGCGAAAGCGGCUUCCUGGUCCAGCACCGACGUUCAGGCACGAAAGCGUGGGGAGCAAACAGG